GCAUGCCAGGAUAAUUGCAUUUCAGACUAAACUUCAUGCUACCAAUGGCAUUUCAUUAGUUUCCACUAUGUCAAUAGCACGCUCCACUGUCACAGCAGAAGAAAUAGAUUUGGACUUCCUUCCUAUAAUAUAUCAAUUCAUGCGCUGUCUUGAAAAGGAGCAGAACCAAACUGAUUUGAACCGUGUUGCUGUUGAAGCCUCUCAACGCCUGUCAGACUUGCAGAACAAGAUCUCUCUUGCUAGAGAACAGGUCCCAAAAUUAGCCGGCGUUGAGAACAGUCCUGCUGAACAGCUCAAGAAGUUGGAUGCUCUACGUGCUCAGCUAACACUGAAGAAGAAACUACUUUCAAAAUACAAGGCGGAAGGUGCUAGUGAACCUAACAGUGCCUAAUUAUUAUUGAUCGGCUCUCAGAUUGGUAUCCUAUUCGGCGAGCUGCGAAGCUGACUGCAUAUGCUAUACAAAAGUCAAAAAUCGCUGCUGAGAGAGCUAUAGAGUCAGAAUUGGCUAAGAAACCCUCUAAUUUUCAAAAGCGUUUCACUGACGAAUUAAAAGAAGGUUUCAAGGAUCUUGAGAAGAAGCGUUUUGGUAACAAGUAAUUAUUUCUUUGAAUUGUUUUCAAGUCU
rnacentral:misc_RNA from 1 species